UCCUUUGCUGGCAAGGUCAUAGAGAGCAUUUGUGGCACAGCGUUUAGGUGUUCCAAGUCUCUGAGGCUCCUGGUCCCUUAUUCAUCUUCCUUCUUUGCAUUAGCUUCUGAGUGUGUAAGGGUUGCUUCUUCUCUAAGGAGCCAGAGAGCAGAGCUAUGUGCAGCCCCCACCCCUGUGGCCCAGUCUUGAGAGUACAGCAGCACGAUGGCACCUUCCUGUGACUCUGGGAGAAGGAAAAAAAAAAAUGGAGAGGUGGUACUUUUAUGUAGCUAACUGAAAAGCUGA
rnacentral:lncRNA from 1 species